UACAGAGGUCUCGAGCGUUGUUCGGAUUCAUUGGGCGUAAAGGGCGCGUAGGCGGCGUGGUAAGUCUGGUGUGAAAUCUCGGAGCUCAACUCCGAAAUUGCACUGGAUACUGCUCUGCUAGAGGGCUGGAAAGGAGAUCGGAAUUCACGGUGUAGCAGUGAAAUGCGUAGAUAUCUGGAGGAAUACCGGUGGCGAAGGCGGCAUCCUGGACCGACAUUGACGCUGAGGAGCGAAAGCUAGGGGAGCAAACGGG
rnacentral:rRNA from 1 species